GCUCCUCCCGGCGGGCCUGCCCGGCCCUGGGAGCCGGCACCGUCAUGGGGCUCCGCAGGAAAAACAAGAGGCUGGUGGUGCUCAGCCAUGAGUUCGUCAUUCAGAACCAUGCGGAUACCGCAUCCUGCCUGGUGAUGGGCUUCCUGCUGGGGCUCAUGUUUGAGGUUUCAGCCAAGUACGCCAUCAUCUUUAUUGCUGUGCAGUACAAUGUCACCUAUACCACUGGAAUUAAUCUGCACAAUGUCUUGGAAAAAAUAGGUGACAACGGUGAGCAAUUUCAUUUUUAUGACUAUGGUCCAAAAGACAUUGCCACAAUCUUCUUCUACAUGCUUGUAGCUAUUAAUCUGCAUGCGGUAAUCCAGGAGUACAUAUUAGAUAAAAUUAGUAGACGUCUGCAUUUGUCAAAAACAAAGCACAGCAAAUUCAAUGAAUCGGGACAGCUAGCAUUUUUCUACUUGUUUUCAUUUAUAUGGGGAGCAAGUAUUCUGAAUGCAGAAGAAUUUGUGAUGAACCCAAUCUCACUCUGGAAAGACUAUCCCCAUUCUCGUAUGCUUUUUCAGGUAAAAUUCUUCUAUAUUUGCCAGAUAGCCUAUUGGCUUCAUGCACUGCCAGAACUAUACUUCCAAAAGAUCCGAAAGGAAGAUAUUCCAAGGCAGCUAUGUUAUAUUUGCCUUUACAUUGCUCAUAUCUCUGGUGCCUAUAUAUUAAAUUUGCAGCAUUUGGGGCUAAUUCUGAUGGUACCUCACUAUCUAGUGGAACUCAUUUUUCAUGCCUCACGUCUUUUCUACUUCAGUGAUGAAAACAAGCAAAAAGGAUUUACCAUUUGGGCUUUACUUUUCGUAAUGGUGCGUCUUUUGACCUUAACUUUAUCUGUCCUCACAUUUGGAUUUGGUCUGGCAAGAGUAGAGAAUCCAGGUUUUUCCAUAGCAGAUGGCAACUUCAAUGUACUCCCUGUGAGGUAUAACAAGGAUUGGCUGCCUGGGUGCUGUUUGUCUAACACAGGCCUGGAUGAUGUGGAAAUUUAUAAAUUUUCAGCUGAAGAAAUGGAGAGAGCAUAUUAAGAACCAGAUUCCAAAGAAAAAAAUAACUAACACAAAGAACAAACGAACAAAAAAGGAACUAAACAGAGCUAACUUUGUCAAUGGAUCAGCAAAAGUUGAAGGUGGAGCAUCACCAAGAAUAAGAAAAUCAAAACCAGUAUGAGAAUACAAGCAAGUAUCAGAAGACAACAUUUGACAGAAGACUGUGACUUAAAAAACUGACACUGCAGAGCUAUUACUUGGAUGUCUUAUUUCAGCGGACACUACAGGGUUAUAUUUUAAAAAUAUUUUUGUUAAUAACCCUACAUUAUGACAGGGUCAUUUUUGAUCUACCUUAACCAAGUAGUCAUCUCCAAAUUUCACUUAGCUUUAACAAUGAAAACAGAUGAAUCAGUUUGAACUCCUGGUUCUGUGAUCAGAAGUUACUACAUUGCUCUAAUAGUUGCAUUGCAGACACUUCAGAAGGCUGCCUAAAUCGGUUAUCUGUCUAUUCAUUUGUUUUUAUAAAAUCAAAAUUCUGUACCAAAAAGAUCUUACCAUGUCUGUUCCUCCUCCCUCUUCCCUCAAGAUUUUUUUCUUUAUUCAUCUUACGUGGAGCAAGAAGUUAUAUCUGAAGUAGCCUGGUAAAAAAGAAAAAAUUGUUCUAUACCUGACUUCUCCUUAAAAAUUACAGAUGAAGAGAGGGCAAAUUCUGACAUGACAUCGCUAAUCUUCCAGUAUAAAGGGUGAGACCAGUGUUUAGUAAAGAUGCAACUUGUGUGCCUUGGGAAAAAUGCUAGACUGCCUGUUGGAUUAUUCUGCAGUGGAUUGUACUGUCUUGUAUGGGGCAGGGAUGGAAGGGAGGAAAGUAGCUAAUUAAUCUCUAGGAUAAUCUUAUCCCUUUUGAAAUAAAAGACAAGAUUUCUAAAUAUUUGUGAAGAGCCAGUAUUUCAUGCUGGCAAUCAUAUAUGCCUUUUUUUUUUUUUUCUCUUCAAUUGUGUCAUUUUCCUUUAAUUUAUGACUGAUGUGUCUUAAACUUCCAAGUCUACUCAGAUGUUUGAGAGGUGCUAAAACAAUAUUACAAUGCAUGUUUCACCAAGCAUAAACUUUUUUUCUUUCUUAACCUAUAGAUAAUAAUUUAUUUUAGUCUGACUCAAGGGUUUUAUGUCUAUGAAGGUAUUAAUUUGCUCCUUAUGUGAACACUUUAUCUGGAUAUGAUUUUAAUAUUAAUAUGAUUCUAUUAUUAAAAGAUUAAUGGUAUUUUUGUAAGUAGCCUUCAUAGAUCUGAGGCUGGUAUCUUAAUGUUGGAUAAGUUUAGUGAACACACUUUCUUAUUUGCCGUUUCUCUCUGUGCAAAUAGUUUUAGGAGUACUAUAUUAAUUCACAUAAGCCUGUACAUUUCUACUGAAGAUGUUUACCAUGGAACUAGAUUACAUUUGCUAGUAUUUUUAAUAAAUCUUUAUAAUAAUGAAUGCCUCAUUCAUUAAAAGUAUCAUCUUUUAAGCAGUUGGGUGAGAUUUGCUUAGAUUUCAAGUAUUUCUCAGCAUGCUGCUCAUAAGACAAUAUUUUCUUUGAUGUAUCCUGCAACUGUAAGUUUACAGUCCCUGUAGAUAUCAAUUUAUGCACACCUAAGUUACCAGGUUUUCAAAAGUGAAUCCAAACAGUGGUUUAGGUGCCAGUAUCCAAUUCCAGGCACGUAAAACUAGACAAUUUCACAUUCAUUUUUUUUGUGCAGAUUGCACAGUGUAAUUACUUUACAGACACGAAGAUAGUUUCACUGAAUUUACAAAUAAAAAAGUGAGCAGGUUGGUGCAACAACUAGUCCAUUAAAAAAAAAAAAAAGCAAGUGUAUGUGCUUUUAGAAGUAAACUGAAUUAAGGCAGUGAUUAUUAUGAUUUUUGUUUUUCAUUGUCUUGCUAAUAGCCUGUGAAAGCUGAAAGGCAAAAUGGUUGUUAAAUCAGAUGAAGAUGGUUUGUUUUUCUUUAGAUGUCAUAUUUUUUGCUUCUGGCUGAGUGGGACUGAGGAGUCAGAAAAGUAGAACUCAAGUGAAAACAAUGAAUUCACAGGGGUACUUGCUUUAGAUGUAUUUUAAGCAACAUUUUAAAAUUUACAAGACUAAUGAUUCUGAAUUUAUCUCUGCAAUUAGUUUUAAAAAUCCUUUUACACUUUAAAAUUUGUUGGUUAGAAAAAACUGCCACAUUCAGGGAUUGUUCCAUAUGUUUAAGCACAAUAUUUUUAUAGGGAAGGUGUGAGACAUGGGAAUUCAUAGUUGAUAACCUAAGUGCUUGACAAUUUCUUUUGAACUGCAGUUUUCAGAAACAUUGCCAAAAAUGUCUAAUGUCUUUGAAAAUACUUUAACCAAAUACUUAAACCAAUUCCAAACCCCUCAUAUGACAGUAAGAUCUGAGGUCAAUCCAGGCAUCAUCUUACGAAGUCAGUAAAACAAAAUGCACAGUAGAAUUUUUGGCUAAGCACUUCUGUAUGAAGGAGAUCUAAUUAAAGCUAAAUCUAAGCCAAGGGUAAUGAGUACUGCAAAGUCAUGUUUAUGUUGCAGAGGAUCUUCAAAUGUUUUAGAAACAUAGGUCCUAAGUGCCAUGAAACAGGGAAGAUGGAAAGCCUAUGGCUUGAGGUCUAGGGUAAAGACUGCAGUGUUAGGGUUGUGUUUGGAUGGGGCUUGUUUUAUGGAUUUAUUUUGUUGUUUGGUGCUUUUUUUUUUUUUUUUUUGUUACUUAAAUAUAGAUUUGUCAGUUUUCUUGAGAACUAAGCUGAUAGUUUUUCACUUUCUUCAUUAUUAUGAAUGCCACAUAGAGUAACAAUUGAAUUAGACACUGAUUUAUUUUUUCCUGUUUCGAGCAUGUAGCCUUUGCUGAAGUUGCAUAAAAUCUGUCAGCCAAUUCACUGUUCCCUAGUGAUGUAAUAUUAUAAUGAAAGAUCCUAUUAAGCUCUUUCUACAUUUAUUUUAAAAUUUUGAUUUAAGUAAAUCAACACUUUCAGAGCAACUGUAUAUUUUAUCUUGUCACUAUCUAAUUGCAAACAAUUUGUAUGUCAGAGGUACUUGGCAAGUAGUCACAUGCCCUUCAAAAUAUAAAAUAUUACUGUGCAUCUGAUUUGUUGGGAAACUGAAAUUAGGUCCUCUUAUUUCUAACUUUCCUUUCCUCCUAGUGAAUAUGUAAGAGUCGUUUUAUCUCCUGAAUAUUGUUUUAAAGAUAAAAGGAAGGGCAUCUUUUAGGCAGUGCAGAAAAGCUUAUGUUACAAAUCUGUAUCUCUGGUUUUGAAGAACAGAUUGUCUUGGUUUUAAAAGCAGAGUAAUAAACUUUCUUUAGCUGAUACAUUUUACAUUCUUGCUGAGGUUUUGAGUUGGCUACAUGAAGUGGAAUAGAGUGGAGGUUGUAUGGUGGCAUAGCAAUGUGGACAAUAGUGUUGCUCUUGCCUGCUCCUGUUCGAGUCCACUAAAAACUAAAAUAGUUCAGAGUAGGUUUUAAAAAUGCAGGAUGCUUUCUGGGAGCUGGAGUUUUAAGCAAGUUUGGAAAAAUGAUAGUAUGUCUAUAUGCUCGGUCUUGUUGAAUGCUAUGUAACUCUGUAAAUAAUUAGUUGGAUGGAGAAGACAAGGUUUUAUCUAUAUUUGCUUCUUAAUGUUAAAAUGAGCUGUUGCAUCUACUUAAAUUGAAAGCACGUAUGUAUUGCCUUUCUUAAGCCAGCUGAAUGUUGACUUUUACCACAAAAAAAAUCUAGUAGUUAAAGAAAUGGGUAAAACAACACCAGUAUUGUAAACCAAGAAAUUUUAGAUACUUAGCUUUAAGACUCAGUAGCUGGAACUGAGCCUACGAAUUUACUGACCAUGAGCAAGAGAGAAAUGUUUACAAACUAAUAUUGUUGUAACAGCGAAAGCAGCAAUGAAUUCCAGAUUACAUUUACUAAUGCGUGACUGUCUGACUGCAACAAAUAUAGUAGUUUGUUUUUAAUUCCCAUUAGGAUGUAUUUUCUUCUUAGUUGACUUGUCUGUCCUUUUUCUGGUUAAACAAUUAUUGUUGAAAUGUGUUGGCUUUAAAAAAAUGCAUUACGAAAAAUGAAUUUGCAUAAAUCAUUGUAUAAGGUAAAAUUAUGGUUCAGUGAAGGUUGCUGAGAAUAUGAAUUAUUUUACUGAAACACUCGUUUGUUUUACGUGUUUUGUUUUACACUAAGUUUUACCUCAGGAUUUGUUGAUUGUUUAAUAUAUAAUCAAUAAUCCAUAGCACAAGAGCCAAGUUUUGAGUGUAUGUAAGAUUCCCAUUAUUCACUUCAUAAGAUAUUCCUAAAGAAAACUUUCUCCAUUUAAA